rnacentral:misc_RNA from 1 species
GUGCAUGGACGAUCCGCGUCGGUCGCGCUGGGUGGUAUGGUUCCGCAGAGGCCGGUUCUUGUGCUGCCUACCCCUUCAGGGGAAGAGUUCCAAACUCGAUGUAAGCCUCCAUCCGGCGCCCCCCCAGAGGGCGCGGGAGGACAACGGAGCACCCCCCGCGUUCCACCGAGCCUCCUCGGUCGCGUGGCCCGCGGGGACGUGCGAUGCUCUAGGACCCAGCGAACGCCGUGGGCGAGGACUCACGUCCCGGUCCCAAGUGAAGCAACGGUAUAACGCAGGACGGCCGCUCCCGCCCCCCGACCGCCCCGGCGGCGCGGGGCGAAGGCGCGGCGUCGCUGAGGAAUGCUACCUGGUGAUCCUGC